rnacentral:misc_RNA from 1 species
GAUGAAGAACGUAGCGAAAUGCGAUAAGUAAUGUGAAUUGCAGAAUUCAGUGAAUCAUCGAAUCUUUGAACGCACCUUGCGCCCUUUGGCCACUCCGAAGGGCAUGCCUGUUUGAGUAUCAUGAACACCUCAACUCUUUAUGGUUUUCCAUGAUGAGCUUGGACUCUGGGGGUUUUGCUGGCUCACAGUCGGCUCCUCUAAAAUGAAUCAGCUUACCAGUGUUUGGUGGGUAUCAUGGGUGUGAUAACUAUCUACGCUUGUGGUUUUUCCACCAGGUAACCUUCAGCAGUGGAGGUUCGCUGGAGCUCAUAGAUGUCUCUCCUCAGUGAGGACAGCCCUUUGAAUGUUUGAUCUCAAAUCAGGUAGGACUACCCGCUGAACUUAAGCAUAUCAAUAAGCGGAGGA